CUUGAACUCACUUUGUAGCUCAGGCUGGCCUUAAACUCACAGAGAUACUCCUGCCUCAGUCUCCUGAGUGCUGAGAU
ensembl:miRNA